rnacentral:rRNA from 1 species
AUUGAACGCUGGCGGCAGGCCUAACACAUGCAAGUCGAGCGGAUGAAGGGAGCUUGCUCCUGGAUUCAGCGGCGGACGGGUGAGUAAUGCCUAGGAAUCUGCCUGGUAGUGGGGGAUAACGUCCGGAAACGGGCGCUAAUACCGCAUACGUCCUGAGGGAGAAAGUGGGGGAUCUUCGGACCUCACGCUAUCAGAUGAGCCUAGGUCGGAUUAGCUAGUUGGUGGGGUAAAGGCCUACCAAGGCGACGAUCCGUAACUGGUCUGAGAGGAUGAUCAGUCACACUGGAGCUGAGACACGGUCCAGGGUCCUACGGGAGGCAGCAGUCGGGAAUAUUGGGCAGUAGGCGAAAGCCUGAUCCAACCAUGCCGCGUGUGUGAAGAAGGUCUUCGGAUUGUAAAGCCCUUUAAGUUGGGAGGAAGGGCAGUAAGUUAAUACGUUGCUGUUUUGACGGUACCAACAGAAUAAGCACCGGCUAACUUCGUG